rnacentral:ncRNA from 1 species
CAAAGGCUUGGUCCUGACUUUACUAUCAGUUUUGACCAAAUUUACACAUGCAAGUCUCCGCCUUCCCGUGAGAAUGCCCAGAAUCUUCUGCUUGAAGACAAGGAGCAGGUAUCAGGCACCCCUCCCCCAGGGAGCCCACGACACCUUGCUUAGCCACACCCUCAAGGGACCUCAGCAGUGAUAAAUAUUAAGCCAUAAGUGAAAACUUGACUUAAUUAUGGCCCAGAGAGCCGGUAAAACUCGUGCCAGCAACCGCGGUUAUACGAGAGGCUCAAAUUGAUAGAUAUCGGCGUAAAGAGUGGUUAAGAGGCCCCAAAAAACUAAAGCCGAACGCCUUCAGGACUGUUUAAUGUAUUCGAAGGUAAGAAGCCCCUCUACGAAAGUGGCUUUAUGGCUCUGACCCCACGAAAGCUGUGAAACAAACUGGGAUUAGAUACCCCACUAUGCUCAGCCCUAAACCUUGAUAGCCCCCUUACACAUGCUAUCCGCCCGGGUACUACAAGCAUUAGCUCAAAACCCAAAGGACUUGGCGGUGCUUUAGAUCCGCCUAGAGGAGCCUGUUCUAGAACCGAUAAUCCCCGUUAAACCUCACCCUCUUUUGCUCUUUCCGUCUAUAUACCGCCGUCGUCAGCUUACCCUGUGAAGGCCUAAAUAGUAAGCAAAAUCAGCACAGCUCAAAACGUCAGGUCGAGGUGUAGCAUACAAGAGGGGAAGAAAUGGGCUACAUUCUCUGCUACAGAGAAUACGAACAACAUAAUGAAACAUAUGUUAAAAGGAGGAUUUAGCAGUAAGCAGGAAAAUAGAGUGUUCCGCUGAAAUAGGCUCUGAAGCAUGCACACACCGCCCGUCAUUCUCCCCAAGCUACCACCACACCCACACCAUAAAUAAUACGCCAUACCAGCAAAGGGGAGGCAAGUCGUAACACGGUAAGUGUACCGGAAGGUGCACUUGGAUGAAU